GAGAUUAUUUUCUGAGCUAAAAAUUAUCUUAUUUCAUUGUCACAAAUCUGGCAUUUGAAGCCAAAACUUAUCUCAACCAUCAUGCAACGCCCACAAUUUCUAAUGCCAAGAUGCAUCUUUAGCAUCUUUAAUAUAACUAAUGCAGCAUUCAUGAUGAAAUGUUCCUUGAAUUUCCAAGAGAAAUCCCAAAAACUCCUAAUGAGAUUUUUCUCUUCUUUCAUUUAACAUUUAUUUCUGAUUCAGGCGCAUUAGGACAGAGCAUCUUAUGUUUUUUCCACCCAUAUUCAUAUUUUUUGCAAUACUACCACACAAGGCACCUGUCAAACCCAGUUCCUUCCAGGUUUGUGAAAUACAAAAUAGAUGGAUUUAGUUUCACUUGAAUGAUGAAUAUGCACAUUGAAACUUGAAAAGAUCUGGUUUAGCUAAUUUGCCAUGGCCUUUCCAUACCUUGAACUUUUUUAUGGAACUGUUAACAUUUGUAUUGAAGGGGAAGAAGAUUACAAACCAUCAAAAAAUAGGCUUCCCACAAGCCGGAAGCUCUAUACCAAAUAUGGGCACCCUUACGUCUAGGGGCUCCAUCCUAAAAGGGGCACUCCUACAUCUGGGGACUCUAUACAAAAAAUAAGCAUCCCAUGAACUGGAAGCUCUGUAAAAAAAAACCACCACUGGUGGACAGUGUGCAAGAUGGCCAAGACAAGAGAAAGUGCAACUAAAGUGUUAACUGCAAAGUGCAGUCAUGGUUGUGCUGUUAAGUGCUCCUCCUUUAGCUAGCGUGUCGGCCUCCGUGUUACCCUCCCACCAAAUAUGCCUCCAUGAGGAAACCAUAUGCUUGCAAAUGUAAUAGCUUUUAUUAACGGUGUGUGUGGGAGUCCAGGGGCAAGGUGCUGAGCCUGAGGCCCAAGCAAUAAUGUUCUUAGUGUCUCCUUCUACUUAGGUUCGAAGAGGGAUUAAUGUUUUUGAGUCCUUCUAGGAGUGCCAAGGCCUCUGCCAGUUGGGAAUAAGCAUACGUCCGAUGUGUUUGGAGAAUGAACUAAGGAUCUGGACUGCAUAAUUCCUAAUGAGACCCCCUAUACGUGAGCGGCCACGGUUGCCGAGGGAGCAGCUGUCGAAGUUUAAUUUCACCUAGCUUGGUUCAGGUGGCUUGAUUCAGGCGGUCUCCAACAUGCAGUAAAUUACAUUUAAAAGCAAAUUUCCAAAGGAAAUACCCACCAGCAUGCAUAAUUAUUUUGAGAAUUAAUGACUUCCAUUGAUGCAAUGAGGUAUUACAUUUUCACGGUUUGUACAAAAUAUGUUACAACAUUGUGGAGGUGUUUAUUCCUGUACAAAAAAUUGGAUGAUGCUAAAGAAGAUUUGGUAUAUCAAAAUUUGAGGUCCAAGUUGGUUUGAUUGAAGGUAGGGCUGUUAUAGUUUUUGACAAGAACACAGGGAAGAAGAGUCCCCUCUUCAAGUGCGUGAAGAGGUUGUAUAGAUGGUUGAGUGUGUGAAGAGGUUGUAUUGAUAGUUGAGUCUGGGUUCCCCUUUAAACUGCCAUUGAAAUUGAGCUUGACUUCUGUGAAUCCAGAUUGCUUCCACAGGGACGGCCUUUGGGGGAUUACAUGGCUUGAACCAGUUAAUAUGCUUCGGCUAUCAAAAACAGCAAAAGAUAUGCCAAAGAUAUUGUCGGAAGGCCAAGGUUAUGAUUGAGGACACAAAGUGCUCGGUGAGAGUUGAAAUGCUUGAUUGGACUCCCUAAAAUAUCCGCAGGUUUAUUCUAAGGGACCAGAUGAAGGCAAUUGAGGUAAGGUGCCAUAGGUGGCGACCCUUUUUGGGAAAGGUAAGGAAAUGGAAAUCCACGGUUUAAAAACUCUUUAAUGGCCUCUGGCCAGACCCAUGUAAGGUUGAAAAGAUCAAGAAAUAUGGAUGGGAUUAUUGAGGCUGUUGCACAAUGGAGAAAUAGCUGGUUCAUGGAUUCAUGGAUUCCCACUCCAACCUGUACAUCACACCAGAUUGACAGGGGUAUUCCUCUGUAUUGGAUGUUGUCCAAGGUUAAAGCUUUGUGGGAUGUGGCAAGCCAGUUUAGGGCAUGAACCUUUGGUGCCAGUUUGAUGGUCCAAGGACUUGUAGUCUGCAGGACUGAAACUUGAAGAAUACUGAGCAUGAUAGAAAGAAGUCACAGAAAAGUCGCCUCGUAGAUUCGGGCACCAAAUCAAAUUGUCCUUGCCACGGUUUGGUACAAAUUAGGCAUUUAGUGUAUCAUUCUUCGUCUCAGCAUCUGUGAGAUUUUGACGAAAUUGUGGUGUCCACAAUAACUGUCCGCCAAUUUGGUCUGUUAUCUGGGCUAUUGAAAUGUAAGGAUCAAGUGCUAGGUUGAAAAGGUGGCAAAAGGAGGACCCUAAUGUGAUCUGACCCGAGCCAUAGGUCUUUCCAAGGCAUAAUCCUGUCACCCAUUUUGGCCAUGAAUCUAAUGGUAGCUAAUAAAUUCAUUGUGAAUAUACUACAUGAUGCCCUAAAGUUACUUCUUUGUCAGCCUCUUGAGUUGGUGGGUUGUUUGAAAAAGCCAACCCAUGGGUCCCAUGCCAUACUUUUGUUUGAUGACAUGGCACCAAAGGAGGUUUCGGGAUCCACAAAAUGCCACCGCCACUUUUCCCAAAAGUGCAAUGUCUACUAGUUGUAGUUUUCUGAUAUGUAAACCACCAAAUCAUUACGGAAGGCAGACAGUCCCAUGUUACAAGGUGAAACUUGUGGUUCCCUUCAGCACAACACAAGGAAUUCUCUGAUGAGCCUUUCUAGUUUGUUGAUGCACUAUCUGAUUUACAGGGAUAUUUAAGAGUCUGGCACUGAUUUAGGUAAUAAGGACUCCAAGAAAGAGAAACCUACAUUUCCAUGCAGGUAAACAUCACUCAGAAAUCUGUGCCACAUUUUCCCAUUGUGAUUUGUUUGUUUUUCCCAUGAAAAGAGGUAGUCCUAUAUAUAAGGCAACCGAUCCCAGGCAUUGAGCUAGCUCCCUCAAUUUGUCACUGGGUACAUAAAAAACAAUGAGGUUUGAUUUGUUCACAUGCAUGCGGAAACCAGUGCAAAGAUCACAAAAUAUUAGAGUCAUAGUUUGUCAACCUGAUGUUUUGCUGGCCUGUUGUCACAAAAGACCAACAGGUGAUCCGCAUCAAGCAAAUGUGAGAUUAUUGGCCCUAUAAUAGAGGUGGAGAUGCUGUCCAGCAGACCAUGGGUAUAGGGACAUUCAAUGGAUAUGGUAAAAAUGUCGCUGAGAAAUAAGAAUGGAGGUAGGGAUUAGGGGUCUCCUUGAUGAAGACAUCUAGAAGAGUGGAAGAAUCCAUUAGCUGAGUUGCUGAUAAGAACUGAGAAGCUUACAGAAUAAAUGUUCUUAAACACAGUUCUGGCAAUGUACUAGGGUGGCUGAGAAGCUUACAGAAGACAUGUUCAGAUGACGAAGUGCAAACAGGUUGAUUAUCUGCACUCAUACUUUCCCCAUGGAACAACAAUCAUAUCCCAUUAAUUUUUGAAGUUAAUUCGAAACAAAACAUACAAAACCCUGAUCCCAAUGUAAUACAAAAGCAAGGAGACAAUGUUGUAAUAUCACCUCCUCCUAACAAAAAAAGACAUUAUAAAAAAUCAUCAAAACACAAGUCUGCAACAAAAUAACAAGCCAAAAGACAAAGCAAUUCACCUAAUUUCAACAAAAAGAUGCAUCAAUAUGAAACUUGAAUAUCUACCACUCAGCAAAUUAAAAGAAGCAUAACUGAAUACCACCAAAACCCUAAUUUUUCAGAUCAAACAGUAAAAACCCUGAUUUCCAGAAUCCACCCAAAACCAGAACUUCUCCGUAAUCCAAAGGCGUUAAUAGAAGAAAGAAUGGCAAAUAAAAAAAAAACCAAAAAACAAA
rnacentral:lncRNA from 1 species